rnacentral:rRNA from 1 species
GACGAACGCUGGCGGCGUGCUUAACACAUGCAAGUCGAACGGACAGGCCCUGCUUUUGUGGGGUGCUCGAUUGGCGAACGGGUGAGUAACACGUGAGUAACCUGCCCUUGACUUUGGGAUAACUUCAGGAAACUGGGGCUAAUACCGGAUAGGAGCUCCUGCUGCAUGGGGGGGGUUGGAAAGUUUCGGCGGUUGGGGAUGGACUCGCGGCUUAUCAGCUUGUUGGUGGGGUAGUGGCUUACCAAGGCUUUGACGGGUAGCCGGCCUGAGAGGGUGACCGGCCACAAUGGGACUGAGAUACGGCCCAGACUCCUACGGGAGGCAGCAGUGGGGAAUAUUGCACAAUGGGCGGAAGCCUGAUGCAGCAACGCCGCGUGCGGGAUGACGGCCUUCGGGUUGUAAACCGCUUUCGCCUGUGACGAAGCGUGAGUGACGGUAAUGGGUAAAGAAGCACCGGCUAACUACGUG